CCUACGGGUGGCAGCAGUGGGGAAUAUUGGGCAAUGGGCGCAAGCCUGACCCAGCAACGCCGCGUGAAGGAAGAAGGCUUUCGGGUUGUUAAACUCUUUUCUGCGGGACGAAGAAAGUGACGGUACCUCAGGAAUAAGCCUCGGCUAACUACGUGCCAGCAGCCGCGGUAAUACGUAGGUGGCCAGCGUUCUCCGGAUUUAUUGGGUGUAAAGGGCGUGGAGGCGGGAAGGGAAGUCAGAUGUGAAAACUCAGGGCUCAACCCUGAGCCUGCAUUUGAAACUGGUUUUCUUGAGUGCUGGAGAGGCAAUCGGAAUUCGGUGUGUAGCGGUGAAAUGCGUAGAUAUACGGAGGAACACCAGUGGCGAAGGCGGAUUGCUGGACAGUAACUGACGCUGAGGCGCGAAAGCGUGGGGAGCAAACAGGAUUAGAUACCCGAGUAGUC
rnacentral:rRNA from 1 species